rnacentral:rRNA from 1 species
GAUGAACGCUAGCGGCAGGCCUAAUACAUGCAAGUCGAACGGUGUAGCAAUACACAGUGGCGCACGGGUGCGUAACACGUAUGCAACCUACCUUACAUUGGGGGAUAGCCUUUCGAAAGGGAGAUUAAUACCGCAUAAGACAGUAACUAGGCAUCUAGUAGCUGUUAAAGAUUUAUCGAUGUAAGCUGGGCAUGCGUCCAAUUAGUUAGUUGGCGAGGUAAUGGCUCACCAAGACGAUGAUUGGUAGGGGAACUGAGAGGUCAAUCCCCCACACUGGCACUGGGAUACGGGCCAGACUCCUACGGGAGGCAGCAGUAGGGAAUAUUGGGCAAUGGGCGCAAGCCUGACCCAGCCAUGCCGCGUGCAGGAAGAAGGCGUUAUGCGUUGUAAACUGCUUUUAUACAGGAAGAAACGACCCUUGCGAGGGGCAUUGACGGUACUGUAUGAAUAAGCACCGGCUAACUCCGUGCCAGCCGCCGCCGUAAGAC